UGCCAGCCGCCGCGGUAAGACGGAGGAUGCAAGUGUUAUCCGGAAUUACUGGGCGUAAAGAGCAUGUAGGCUGGUAGAAAAGUUAGAAGUGAAAUCCUGUGGCUUAACCAUAGAACUGCUUCUAAAACUCUCUACCUAGAAUAUGGGAGAGGUAGAUGGAAUUUCUGGUGUAGGGGUAAAAUCCGUAGAGAUCAGAAGGAAUACCGAUUGCGAAGGCGAUCUACUGGAACAUUAUUGACGCUGAGAUGCGAAAGCGUGGGGAGCAAACAGGAUUAGAUA
rnacentral:rRNA from 1 species